ACAACCUGUUGCAUGGUCGGGUCGUCGGCGACUAAACUGGCAACCCCACUGAACAUGCUUGGUGAGGAGGGUGAUUUUUGGACACUGCGGAACGAAAAAUAAAGUCCGUAGAAGGGUGGAGGAACUCAUGAGUAGUCAACGGCUGUCCAGCAUCAUGUGUAUAUAGGGAGCUCAGGAACUUCUAGACCGGUUUUUUGCUGCAUGUAAAACCAUCAGUAUAAAGAAGACGGAAGUGAUCCACUAACCUUGCCCUACUCCUAAGCAAAUUCGAGGUGUCCAGCUGAGGCCACCGGUUCACAAUUUCCUUGACACUCCUAUACAGGCUGAUGGGAAAAAUCUAAAGUAUGUGAAGUCAUUUACAUAUAUUGGUAGUAAAGUGAAUCCGAGCGCUUCCCUUGAUGAUGAAAUCGUCAACUGUCUUGCAAAAGCAACCAACGCAUUUGAUAAACUCCGUCAUCGCCUAUGGAAUGAAACGAUACCCCACCCACCAUAUUCGCUGGACAUUACCCUAUCUGAUUAUCAUUUAUUCCGCAGUCUUCAAAAAGAUUUGGA
rnacentral:misc_RNA from 1 species